UCGUAUAAUGGGAGGUGCUGGCCCUCUGGUAUGUGCACGAUUAGUGACUUUCAUCCAACUCCCAUUUGUGAACCUUUGGCCUUGCGUUGGCUUCGGCCGGCGGAAGGAUUUUUACAUAUACUCCGAAUGUAAUGAAAUACUAUUGUGCAGAUGCACUAAUGUA
rnacentral:misc_RNA from 1 species